rnacentral:rRNA from 1 species
UGAGGAAUAUUGGUCAAUGGGCGGGAGCCUGAACCAGCCAAGUCGCGUGAGGGAAGACGGCCCUAUGGGUUGUAAACCUCUUUUGCCGGGGAGCAAAGAACCACACGUGUGCGGUCUGGAGAGUACCCGGAGAAAAGCAUCGGCUAACUCCGUGCCAGCAGCCGCGGUAAUACGGAGGAUGCGAGCGUUAUCCGGAUUUAUUGGGUUUAAAGGGUGCGUAGGCGGUCUGUUAAGUCAGCGGUAAAAUUGCGAGGCUCAACCUCGCCGAGCCGUUGAAACUGGUAGACUUGAGUGGGCGAGAAGUACGCGGAAUGCGUGGUGUAGCAGUGAAAUGCAUAGAUAUCACGCAGAACUCCGAUUGCGAAGGCAGCGUACCGGCGCCCAACUGACGCUGAAGCACGAAGGCGUGGGUAUCGAACAGGAUUAGAUACC